UCGUAUUACAGAGGCGCGAGGGCUGUCGCUGACCUUUUCGAAGGUCGUGCACGCCCGAGCGCUCUCGCCCACAAUCCACCUCACCCCUUGUGCAUCACCGCGUGGGGUCUCCCUCUUGGCUUGGCCUCGAGGGAGGCUCGCGCUUUUUUCACAAACGCCCUUUUAGUUUAGAAUGUCAUUCAUUUGCGAUCACACGCAAUCAAUA
rnacentral:misc_RNA from 1 species